rnacentral:rRNA from 1 species
UACGUAGGGGGGCUAGCGUUGUCCGGAAUCAUUGGGCGUAAAGAGCGUGUAGGCGGCCCGGUAAGUCCGCUGUGAAAACUCGAGCUCAACCUCGAGACGCCGGUGGAAACCAUCAGACUAGAGUCCGGAAGAGGCGAGUGGAAUUCCUGGUGUAGCGGUGAAAUGCGCAGAUAUCAGGAGGAACACCAAUGGCGAAGGCAGCUCGCUGGGACGGUACUGACGCUGAGGCGCGAAAGCGUGGGGAGCAAACAGG